GACGAACGCUGGCGGCGCGCCUAACACAUGCAAGUCGAACGGAGUCAAGAGGAGCUUGCUUUUCUUGACUUAGUGGCGAACGGGUGAGUAACGCAUGAGUAACCUGCCCUGGAGUGGGGGACAACAGUUGGAAACGACUGCUAAUACCGCAUAAGCCCACGGAUCCGCAUGGAUCUGCGGGAAAAGGAUUUAUUCGCUUCAGGAUGGACUCGCGUCCAAUUAGCUAGUUGGUGAGGUAACGGCCCACCAAGGCGACGAUUGGUAGCCGGACUGAGAGGUUGAACGGCCACAUUGGGACUGAGACACGGCCCAGACUCCUACGGGAGGCAGCAGUGGGGGAUAUUGCACAAUGGGGGAAACCCUGAUGCAGCGACGCCGCGUGGAGGAAGAAGGUUUUCGGAUUGUAAACUCCUGUCGUUAGGGACGAUAAUGACGGUACCUAACAAGAAAGCACCGGCUAACUACGUG
rnacentral:rRNA from 1 species